rnacentral:pre_miRNA from 1 species
AACGCCUAUAGGUAAAAAAGAACAGUGAUUUCGCCUACCCUCAUCACCGUCCAAAGAUCAUCGCAUGGUCACGAUUGUCUGAUAGUGUUUCAUUUUUUAUUUUUUCUACAAAUCGGAAUGAUCUGAAAUUUGGAGCGUAUGUUCAUAAAAAAUAGGGAAUCUACGAAAAAUAUCAAAAAAAUAUUUUACAUGAAAUAAAUUGACCAAAAUAAUCCGAAAAAGUUUCAAGGAUAUUUUGGUCAAUUUAUUUUUUGUUAAUUAUUUUUUAUAUAUUUUUAUUAGGUGCGUCUCACUAAAAUGUACACACACUCCAAAUUUCAGAUCAUUCCGAUUUGUAGAAAAAACAUGAAAUUACUAGACAAUCGUGACCGUACGAUGAACUUUGGACGGUGAUGAACAUAACGAAAUUACUGUUCAUUUUCACCUAAAGGGGUU